CUCGAUGCAUUUUUGGGACCAGUUGACUGUGGCGGUCACCCUUUCUAGCCAUGGAAGAGCAUUCCUUAUUUAUUGGCAGAGCUCACCGUUUGGUGAUAGCAGGUUUUGACCUGCACACGUAGCUCUG
ensembl:snoRNA